ACGGAAGGCAGCAGCUAAGAAUAUUCCGCAAUGGACGAAAGUCUGACGGAGCGACGCCGCGUGGAUGAUGAAGGCCGGAAGGUUGUAAAAUCCUUUUAUAACUGAGGAAUAAGUAUUAUCAGAGAAAGGUAGUAUGGUGACUGUAGGUUGUGAAUAAGCAACGGCUAAUUACGUGCCAGCAGCCGCGGUAACACGUAAGUUGCGAGCGUUGUUCGGAAUUAUUGGGCGUAAAGGGCGUGUAGGCGGUUUUGCAAGCUUGGUGUGAGAUCCCGGAGCUCAACUCCGGAAUUGCGUUGAGAACUGCAUAACUAGAGUCACUGAGGGGCAAUCAGAAUUCCAGGUGUAGGGGUGAAAUCUGUAGAUAUCUGGAAGAAUACCAAUGGCGAAGGCAGGUUACCAGCAGAUGACUGACGCUGAGGUGUGAAGGUGCGGGGAGCAAACAGGAUUAGAUACCCUGGUA
rnacentral:rRNA from 1 species